GCCCAGCUUGCUGGGUGGAUUAGUGGCGAACGGGUGAGUAACACGUGAGUAACCUGCCCUUAACUCUGGGAUAAGCCUGGGAAACUGGGUCUAAUACCGGAUAGGAGCGCCCACCGCAUGGUGGGUGUUGGAAAGAUUUAUCGGUUUUGGAUGGACUCGCGGCCUAUCAGCUUGUUGGUGAGGUAAUGGCUCACCAAGGCGACGACGGGUAGCCGGCCUGAGAGGGUGACCGGCCACACUGGGACUGAGACACGGCCCAGACUCCUACGGGAGGCAGCAGUGGGGAAUAUUGCACAAUGGGCGCAAGCCUGAUGCAGCGACGCCGCGUGAGGGAUGACGGCCUUCGGGUUGUAAACCUCUUUCAGUAGGGAAGAAGCGAAAGUGACGGUACCUGCAGAAGAAGCACCGGCUAACUACGUGCCAGCAGCCGCGGUAAUACGUAGGGUGCGAGCGUUAUCCGGAAUUAUUGGGCGUAAAGAGCUCGUAGGCGGUUUGUCGCGUCUGUCGUGAAAGUCCGGGGCUUAACCCCGGAUCUGCGGUGGGUACGGGCAGACUAGAGUGCAGUAGGGGAGACUGGAAUUCCUGGUGUAGCGGUGGAAUGCGCAGAUAUCAGGAGGAACACCGAUGGCGAAGGCAGGUCUCUGGGCUGUAACUGACGCUGAGGAGCGAAAGCAUGGGGAGCGAACAGGAUUAGAUACCCUGGUAGUCCAUGCCGUAAACGUUGGGCACUAGGUGUGGGGACCAUUCCACGGUUUCCGCGCCGCAGCUAACGCAUUAAGUG
rnacentral:rRNA from 1 species